GACGAACGCUGGCGGCGUGCUUAACACAUGCAAGUCGAACGGAAAGGCCCUGCUUUUGUGGUGUGCUCGAGUGGCGAACGGGUGAGUAACACGUGAGUAACCUGCCCGUGACUUUGGUAUAUCUUCAGGAAACUGGGGCGAAUACCGGGUAGGAGCUUCCGCUGCAUGGUGGGGGCUGGAAAGGGUCGGCGGGUGGGGAUGGAAUCGCGUCUUAUGAGCUUGUUGGUGGGGUAGGGGAUUACCAAGGCUUCGACGGGUAGCCGGCCUGAGAGGGUGACCGGCCACACUGGGUCUGAGCUACGGCCCAGCCUCCUCCGCGAGGCGGGGGUGGGGAAGAGUACACUACGGGAGGAAGCCUGACGCAACGACGCGGCGUGGCGGAUGACGUCAAUCGUGUUGGAAAGCGCAUUCGCCUGUGCAGAAGCGAGAAUGACGGUAAUGGGUAAAGAAGCACCGGCUAACUACGUG
rnacentral:rRNA from 1 species